UAAAGAGAGUUACUGUUGCCACAAUAUGGGU
rnacentral:piRNA from 1 species